rnacentral:rRNA from 1 species
UACGUAGGAGGCGAGCGUUGUCCGGAAUUACUGGGCGUAAAGCGCGCGUAGGCGGUGCGGUACGACCGCUGUGAAAGCCCCCGGCUCAACUGGGGAGGGUCAGUGGUAACGGCCGCGCUCUGAGUGCAGGAGAGGGACGUGGAACUCCGGGAGUAGCGGUGAAAUGCGUAGAGACCCGGAGGAACACCAGUGGCGAAGGCGGCGUCCUGGUCUGCUACUGACGCUGAGGCGCGAAAGCUAGGGGA